CUGCGCGGCUUGCUCCAGCAAGGUAAAAUUUCCCACUGCGAGGCAGGCAGUGAUGCUGCGGCCGCUUCGCACUGUGGCUCCUGCCGACCGCCAGGCGCUGUUACAGUGGAUGCGAACUAACCGUAAGUAUGCAGCAGCAGCCGGAACCCACAGUUCACCUUGGUGCAUUCCUUUAUGAUGAAGACUUAUUGAUUCAUUAUAUGAGAAAGGAAAAAUGAGCAGAAACUACUGUAUGAUGUGCAGCUCACACCAGACAGCAACUUUAGGGUUAUCUUUCCAGUUCAGCAGUGCAACUCUAUGGAGUAGAAUUGAAAGGAGACUUUUCGCCAAUUGCAGGAAAUGGUCAUAAAAAAAUACCUGCUCACUGACAGAAUAAAGAUGGAGUGUCACUCUGUCACCCUGACUAGAGUGCAGUGGCACGAUCUCGGCUCACUGAAACCUCCACCUUCCAGGUUCAAGCGAUUCUUCUGCCUCAGCCUGCUGAGCAGCUGGGACUACAGGCAAGCACCGCCACGCCCAGAUCUUUUUUGUGUUUUUAGUAUAGACAGGGUUUCACCAUAUUGGCCAGGCUGAUCUCGAACUCCUGACCUCGUGAUCCGCCCACCUUGGCCUCCCAAAGUUCUGGGAUUACAGGCGUGAGCCACUGCCCCCAGCCUUACUUACAUUUUUAAAGAUGUUUUUUACCCCUUUUCAAAGGAAAAUAUGCAGACACACCCAUCCACAUACUUUCCUGGCUUGUAGCUUCUGUGGCCAUCAGCAACCCGAUAAAAACUUUUUGGCCAGGUGCAAUGCCUCAUGCCUAUAAUUCCAGCACCUUAGCAGGCCAAGGUGGGAGGAUUGCUUGAGGCCAGGAGUUCAAUACCAGCCUGAGAAACUAU
rnacentral:lncRNA from 1 species